CAAAUUAAGUCUUAGGGAUAAUAUUAUUUACAUUAAUAUUUUGGUUGUGCAAUUCAAUCUAAUUUGA
rnacentral:tRNA from 1 species